rnacentral:tmRNA from 1 species
GGGGAUGUAUUGAUUUGACGCUGUGUGCUCGUUAACAUCUGCAGGUCGUCUUUGAUCAUAGACGUAAAAAAGGGUCAAAAUAUAACUGCAAAUAAAACAAGCAGAACAGUUGCAGACGUAAUCGCCAGUGCCGAGAGUUUACUCUUGAACACAAGUGGCUACCAAGCAACUCCGGCUUUGGCUCCUAAUUAUUUAGUAGCUUAAGUUCGGCAUUCACUAUUUGAGUUUCACUAGCGCUCGGUAGUGGGUGGCAACCCAGUUGGUGUGACAGUCGCUCACUCUCUUGUCGGUGACGAUCUAAGACCUUAGACAGGGAUUUGACUGAAACGGUUUGCCCGUUAACCAUCGGUCAAUACUCAAACGUGCUACACCUGUAGAAGAUGUUAGCUUUCACUUGCGGACAGGGGGUCGCUCCCCCUCAUCUCCACCU